rfam:Myotis brandtii contig162819, whole genome shotgun sequence.
GGCAGUUCUCGGGUGAUGCACCCUGGAAUCGAGCUCCCUCUCUGGUUCUGGGUGCAUCCCCAAGAACCGCA